GACGAACGCUGGCGGCGUGCCUAAUACAUGCAAGUCGAGCGGAUCUUGUCCUUCGGGAUAAGAUUAGCGGCGGACGGGUGAGUAACACGUGGGUAACCUGCCUGUAAGACCGGGAUAACAUUCGGAAACGAAUGCUAAUACCGGAUACGCGGCUUGGUCGCAUGACCUUGCCGGGAAAGAUGGAGCAAUCUAUCACUUACAGAUGGACCCGCGGCGCAUUAGCUAGUUGGUGAGGUAACGGCUCACCAAGGCGACGAUGCGUAGCCGACCUGGAGUGGUGAUCGGCCACACUGGGACGGAGACACGGCCCAGAGUCCUACGGGAGGCAGCAGUAGGGAAUCUCCCGCAAUGGGCGAAAGCCUGACGGAGCAACGCCGCGUGAGUGAUGAAGGUUUUCGGAUCGUAAAGCUCUGUUGCCAGGGAAGAAUGCUUGGGAGAGUAACUGCUCCCAAGGUGACGGUACCUGAGAAGAAAGCCCCGGCUAACUACGUGCCAGCCGCCGCAGUAAUAC
rnacentral:rRNA from 1 species